UACGAAGGGGGCUAGCGUUGUUCGGAAUUACUGGGCGUAAAGGGCGCGUAGGCGGUCCUUCAAGUCAGGCGUGAAAGCCCCGGGCUCAACCUGGGAACCGCGCUUGAGACUGGCGGGCUAGAGUUCGGGAGAGGAUGGUGGAAUUCCCAGUGUAGAGGUGAAAUUCGUAGAUAUGCGGAGGAACACCGAUGGCGAAGGCAAUCCCCUGGGCCUGCACUGACGCUCAUGCACGAAAGCGUGGGGAGCAAACAGG
rnacentral:rRNA from 1 species